AGAUGUUUUGUGUUUUGUAAGAAAAAGAAGGAUAUGUAUGAAGGCUCUACUAACAACGAAGGCAGAGAAAUGUCAAACACGUAUAUGAAUAUGGCAGUGAAUACUGACACUUCAUUGAAGAUACGGCAAAGACACGAUUAUGACGAAAUCGAUGUUGUUACUCAAGAAAUUGAUAAUUCCAAGUAUGAGCAAUUUUCAGUGGCGCCAAAAAGUCACUAUCAAAAUGUAACCAUAGGGUCAAGUAUUUAAUUAUACAAUCACAAGUUUAAUUAGGGGUUGAAGACUUAUGAUUUAAUUAUGCAUCAUAGUAGUAAGAGUUACCUAGAAUCAAUAUAUCUGUAACUAAUUCUUUUGGGUAAUUUUUGGGAUAAUUACACAAAAUGUUGGUUACUACAUACAUUACAAUUGAUGUGAUUAACUUGUGAUUUAAAAACAAGAUCUCUUAAGCUGAGUAGUUUUAUUACAUCGCUAUAAAUAGAAAAUGUGAUAAUUGAGAGGUCUCUGUUUGGUUUACAUAAGUAUAUUGUUUUCCAUACAACUCUAAAAAUUGACAGUUAAAUUAACAUGUGACAAUAACAUUAUGCAGAUAUCGCAAUAAUCUAUAUAUAUAAUUCUCUUCUGGGAGCCGUUAGAAAACAAGCUGCAAGCGCGCCUUACAGUCCCCUCUCUUCCUCUCUAUCGCUACCACCCCCCACCCCCUCGCGUGGUCUGGUGAGCUGUGGUUCACGCUGUUUACAUUUUACAAUCAUAGAGACGGGUUUGAUAACGGCUAUUAGUGGCAGAUAAUUUACUUUGAAACGAUUUUAAA